rnacentral:rRNA from 1 species
CCUACGGGAGGCAGCAGUGAGGAAUAUUGGUCAAUGGGCGCGAGCCUGAACCAGCCAAGUCGCGUGAAGGAUGACUGCCCUACGGGUUGUAAACUUCUUUUAUCAAGGAAUAAAGUGAGGCACGUGUGCCUUUUUGUAUGUACUUUAUGAAAAAGCAUCGGCUAACUCCGUGCCAGCAGCCGCGGUAAUACGGGGGAUGCGAGCGUUAUCCGGAUUUAUUGGGUUUAAAGGGUGCGCAGGCGGAUUUUUAAGUCAGCGGUAAAAUCGUGGGGCUCAACCCCAUCCAGCCGUUGAAACUGGGGAUCUUGAGUGUGCGAGAGGUAUGCGGAAUGCGUGGUGUAGCGGUGAAAUGCAUAGAUAUCACGCAGAACCCCGAUUGCGAAGGCAGCAUACCGGUGCACAACUGACGCUCAGGCACGAAAGCGUGGGUAUCGAACAGGAUUAGAUACCCCUGUAGUC